GACGGAGGAUGCAAGCGUUAUCCGGAAUGAUUGGGCGUAAAGCGUCCGCAGGUGGCAGUUCAAGUCUGCUGUCAAAGACCGGGGCUUAACUUCGGAAAGGCAGUGGAAACUGAACAGCUAGAGUAUGGUAGGGGCAGAGGGAAUUCCUGGUGUAGCGGUGAAAUGCGUAGAGAUCAGGAAGAACAUCGGUGGCGAAGGCGCUCUGCUGGACCAUAACUGACACUCAGGGACGAAAGCUAGGGGAGCGAAGUGGG
rnacentral:rRNA from 1 species